AGCGUAGACGGAGUGGCAAGUCUGAUGUGAAAACCCGGGGGCUCAACCCCGGGACUGCAUUGGAAACUGUCAAUCUAGAGUACCGGAGAGGUAAGCGGAAUUCCUAGUGUAGCGGUGAAAUGCGUAGAUAUUAGGAGGAACACCAGUGGCGAAGGCGGCUUACUGGACGGUAACUGACGUUGAGGCUCGAAAGCGUGGGGAGCAAAACA
rnacentral:rRNA from 1 species